AGUGAACGCUGGCGGUAGGCCUAACACAUGCAAGUCGAACGAGUGGCGGACGUGUGAGGAAUACAUCGGAAUCUACUCUGUCGUGGGGGAUAACGUAGGGAAACUUACGCUAAUCCCGCAUAAGAGUGAAUGAGCAGAUGUCGGAUUAGCUAGUUGGCGGGGUAACGGCCCACCAAGGCGACGAUCCGUAGGUGGUCUGAGAGGAUGAUCAGCCACACUGGAACUGAGACACGGUCCAGACGCCUACGGGAGGCAGCAGUGGGGAAUAUUGCACAAUGGGCGCAAGCCUGAUGCAGCCAUGCCGCGUGUAUGAAGAAGGCCUUCGGGUUGUAAAGUACUUUCAGCGGGGAGGCGUUACCCGCAGAAGAAGCACCGGCUAACUCCGUGCCAGCCGCCGCGGUAAUAC
rnacentral:rRNA from 1 species